CACGUAGGGGCGAGCGUUGUUCGGAUUCAUUGGGCGUAAAGGGUGCGUAGGCGGCGCGGUAAGUCGGGUGUGAAAUCUCGGAGCUUAACUCCGAAACUGCAUUCGAUACUGCCGUGCUUGAGGACUGGAGAGGAGACUGGAAUUUACGGUGUAGCGGUGAAAUGCGUAGAUAUCGUAAGGAAGACCAGUGGCGAAGGCGGGUCUCUGGACAGUUCCUGACG
rnacentral:rRNA from 1 species